rnacentral:rRNA from 1 species
UACGUAGGGGGCUAGCGUUGUCCGGAAUCAUUGGGCGUAAAGCGCGUGUAGGCGGUUCGGUAAGUCCGCUGUGAAAGUCGGGGGCUCAACCCUCGGGAUGCCGUGGAGUACUGUCGGACUAGAGUACGGGAAGAGGCGAGUGGAAUUCCUGGUGGUAGCGGUGAAAUGCGCAGAGUAUCAGGAGGAACGCCAAUUGCGAAGGCAGCUCGCUGGGACGUUACUGACGCUGAGACGCGAAAGCGUGGGGAGCAAACAGGA